rnacentral:piRNA from 1 species
UUUUGCUGACAUUCAUAAUAC